GCGGUCUAAUACCUUAUGUGUUCCGAAGAAGACAUCUGAAUUGGAUAAAGAUUUAUCGGGUUAUGGAUGGGGAUGCGUCUGAUUAGAUUGUUGCGGGGCAACGGCCCACCAAGUCUACGAUCAGUAGGGGUUCUGAGAGGAAGGUCCCCCACAUUGGAACUGAGACACGGUCCAAACUCCUACGGGAGGCAGCAGUGAGGAAUAUUGGUCAAUGGGCGAGAGCCUGAACCAGCCAAGUAGCGUGCAGGAUGACGGCCCUAUGGGUUGUAAACUGCUUUUGUAUGGGGAUAAAGUGGGCCACGCGUGGCUUAUUGCAGGUACCGCAUGAAUAAGGACCGGCUAAUUCCGUGCC
rnacentral:rRNA from 1 species